UACAGAGGGUGCAAGCGUUGUUCGGAAUCACUGGGCUUAAAGGGCGCGUAGGCGGGCUGACAAGUCUGGGGUGAAAUCCCACGGCUCAACCGUGGAACUGCCUUAGAUACUGUCGGCCUCGAGGAAGGUAGGGGCAUGCGGAACUGUAGGUGGAGCGGUGAAAUGCGUUGAUAUCUACAGGAACUCCGGUGGCGAAAGCGGCGUGCUGGACCUUUUCUGACGCUGAGGCGCGAAAGCUAGGGGAGCAAACGGG
rnacentral:rRNA from 1 species